AAGCGAAACGGGGGCAUCCCCGUCUACUCAGCGUGGUGGCUGGGUACUGAUGAGCAACCGAAC
rnacentral:hammerhead_ribozyme from 1 species